GUAUUUAGCGGAAGCUAAUGCUAAUAUGCUACAUUAACAUGGUAUUUAGCGGAAGCUAAUGUGCUACAUUAACAUGGUAUUUAGCGGAAGCUAAUGCUAAUGUGCUACAUUAACAUGGUAUUUAGCGGAAGCUAAUGCUAAUGUGCUACAUUAACAUGGUAUUUGUCCUUCGUGGUUUAGAUAUGUCCCUGAUUUUCAUGUCCUCAGCAGCCAUGAAGUUCUGCGGAGGUCCGCUCCUGAACCAGUCGUUACAUUCAGACGUAAAGCCAGUCCCGUCUGUGGAUGUUCUGAUGGAGUUUCAGCCAAUAAACAACCUUAAAUCUGGAUGUAGAGAUGGACCUGAACCUGCAGAGCCACAUAAAGACGGUUACAAAGUCGGCCUUCUAUCACCUGAAGAACAUUUCCAGGAUUAAAGGACGAAUUUCCCACAAGAUCUAGAGAAGCUCAUCCAUCUUUAGUUGCACUGAUCACUGCAACAGUGUCUACAAAUGUCAACCAGACAGCCGGCUGCCCCAGGAGACCCGUAUACAUCUCAGCGCUGCGGUAAUUUGUCUGGAAGUCGGGAAGCAGAGGAGCAGACGCCAACGGUAUGCAGCCGAUGCAGACGAGUCCAACACGGAAACUUUUUGAGUCAGUGGAGCAGCCAAAGCCGUCCGGACCUAACAGAACUAUCAGUGUCUGGAUCGGCUCGUCCUGAUCCGAACGUUUACAUCACACUGCUCUGCUGCUCAGCUCCAGGUGAGCUGAUGUCAGAUCUUAUCCUGACCAAACAGCUCAGAUAAGGAGACUUCAGACGGAGCCGAGGACACACACCUGAACUCCAAUCUGUCCAUCUUAUCUCCUCACUGAGUCCAUAAACUGCAGACAGAGACAGACUGGCUCUGUGAACCGUCUGUACAUCCAGGAUCCCAGUUUCUCAUGUAGAAAUCAGAAUUUAGAAACCACUGCUUUGGCUAAAGUUAGCCGAACAUUAGUCUGUUUCUCUGCAUCAAAACAUUCAAAUAAGUAUGAAUAUUCCAUAAAAUCAGAUGUUUUGAGUCAACGUAAAUUCACAAAACCUUCAAAUAAGGUUGAAUAUUCUGUAAACUAAUUGAUGUUUUCAGUAAAUUUAGCAUUAUUUUCA